rnacentral:rRNA from 1 species
AUGGCCAGGUCAUCGAGAAGCUUUCUCGCACGAACUACGUGUUGUAGCGCACGCAGAUCACGCCGCAACUGCGUGGCGCUGGUGUCUUCGGCUACGUCGACGGCACCUCACCGGAACCAGCUAAGCUCCUCUCCAUCAAGGACAAGGACGACAAGGAGACCUUCGAGCCCAACCCUCUCCACCCUAUCUGGGUCAGGGAGGAUCAGCAGGUGCUCGACUACUUGCUGGCCAACCUCUCGAAAGAGGUGCUCAUCACGGUGA